UUUGGCGUAAAUCUGGGUUCUCUGUCUUAUGUUCAGGUAUACAACCUUCAAACGGAUCCAAUCAACCUGUAAAUAGGCCGUCUAAUGAUAUGAGAAGACUUGCUGAACCGGCUUCGCAUGGAGAGGACCAGAAUGAUGAUCCAUAUGGAAUUUUUUAGCCCGUUGUUGAACAUACCAGUUUACAAGACUGCUUGGAACCAUUGCAUAGUGGAGAACGUGCAUACCAUGAGCCUGAUGAAGAAGCUAGAAUUUAUAUGGGUCAAGAUGUUGCUUUUGAAUCGUUCCAAGAUGGACGUCAUACUACACGAGCAGUACCCGUAGCAAGUACUGAUGAAUUCAUAUAUCGAAACCUACCUACAAAGCAUCAUGUCCUAAGAAAGGUUGCGGAUUGUUGCCACUGUGGGGCAUUGCGGUUUCCAUUCGAGGGCCCAGCAUUUUGUUGUAGAAAAGGAAAAGUCGGAUUAUUUACUCCAGAUGUUCCAGAAGAAUUGAAACGGUCGUUCACAAGUCAAGAUGAUGAGGAUGCUAAAUAUUUCAGAGAGCAUAUACGGUAUUUCAACUCGCACUUCUCAUUCACAAGUCUAGGAGUCACCCUUGAUCGUCGAGUAAGCACUGCGGCAGGAACUAGCGUGUGGUGGGUUGUACCACGCUCUUGACGAUCUGGUGUCGGGUGAUAAUGGCCCUCGGCAUUUGCAACUCUAUAUUUAUGAUACGGAUCAAAACUUGGUUCACAGGGCUAAUAGGUCUCCAGAUCUUAAUAUAGACCUCAUACGAAAGAUUCUGAGAAUACUAGAGCGUAACCUGUAUGCACAAACUUUCAGAAGCCUUGUGUUGGUUCCAAAUCUAGAUGAGUACAAAAUCUCACUAAACACGGAUAUCAAGUUGGAUCAGCGAAGGUACAAUGCCCCAACGACCUCCCAAGUGGCAGCCAUAUGGUUUGAAGGGAGUGACCCACAAAAUUGCUUCGACAGGAGUGUUGUCGUGCAUGCGAGAAAAGGAAACCGGCCACUAUAUAUUAGAGCAUACUAUGGGUGCUAUGACCCAUUGUCAUAUCCACUAUUCUUCCCACGUGGAGAGACUGGUUGGAAUCGUUGCAUUUCAUAUAUUCCGUAACAGGAUGACACGACCCAAAAUUCCAUGCAUAUGUCUGCAACCCAAGGAAACCAAGCCUCUGAU